GUGGGGAAUAUUGGGCAAUGGGGGAAACCCUGACCCAGCGACGCCGCGUGAGGGAAGACGGCCUUCGGGUUGUAAACCUCUUUUGUACGGGAAGAAGGAAGUGACGGUACUGUACGAAUAAGUCCCGGCUAACUACGUGCCAGCAGCCGCGGUAAUACGUAGGGGACGAGCGUUGUCCGGAAUUACUGGGCGUAAAGGGCGCGCAGGCUGUGCUGCAAGUCAGCUGUGAAAUGUCUGGGCUUAACCCGGGCAUGCGGUUGAGACUGCAGUGCUGGAGUGCUGUAGAGGCAAGUGGAUAUCCCAGUGUAGCGGUGAAAUGCGUAGAUAUUGGGAAGAACACCGGUGGCGAAGGCGACUUGCUGGGCAGCAACUGACGCUGAGGCGCGAAAGCCAGGGGAGCAAACGGGAUUAGAUACCCCUGUAGUCC
rnacentral:rRNA from 1 species